rnacentral:rRNA from 1 species
AGCACUUUAUACUGUGAAACUGCGAAUGGCUCAUUAAAUCAGUUAUCGUUUAUUUGAUAGUACCUUACUACAUGGAUACCUGUGGUAAUUCUAGAGCUAAUACAUGCUAAAAACCCCGACUUCGGAAGGGGUGUAUUUAUUAGAUAAAAAACCAAUGCCCUUCGGGGCUCCUUGGUGAUUCAUAAUAACUUAACGAAUCGCAUGGCCUUGCGCCGGCGAUGGUUCAUUCAAAUUUCUGCCCUAUCAACUUUCGAUGGUAGGAUAGUGGCCUACCAUGGUGGCAACGGGUAACGGGGAAUGGGGCGGGGGCGGCGGGCCGGGCGC